rnacentral:rRNA from 1 species
AACGAACGCUGGCGGCAGGCUUAACACAUGCAAGUCGAACGAUGCAGCAAUGCAUAGUGGCAGACGGGUGAGGAACACGUGGGAACAUCCCUUUCAGUUCGGAAUAACGUUGGGAAACUAACGCUAAUACCGGAUACGUCCUUCGGGAGAAAGAUUUAUCGCUGAAAGAUUGGCCCGCGUCUGAUUAGCUAGUUGGUGAGGUAACGGCUCACCAAGGCUACGAUCAGUAGCUGAUCUGAGAGGAUGAUCAGCCACAUUGGGACUGAGACACGGCCCAAACUCCUACGGGAGGCAGCAGUGGGGAAUAUUGGACAAUGGGCGCAAGCCUGAUCCAGCCAUGCCGCGUGAGUGAUGAAGGCCUUCGGGUUGUAAAGCUCUUUUGUCCGGGAAGAUAAUGACUGUACCGGAAGAAUAAGCCCCGGCAAACUUCGUGCCAGCCGCCGCGGUAAGAC